AUACUGUACUAGCUAGGGAAAUUAGGGUAUAAUAUUCCCUAGAUGCCAUUUUUUGGGUACUCUAUAUAAAGAAAACUUUCCCUCACUCUCACACACACACAUUCAUCAGCAUUUUUCUGCACAAAAAGGUUCUGAAAACAUAUAGAGAUAUUAGUCUUUUCGGAAAAUCCAUAUUUGAUUCUGAAAAAUACCAAAAUAGAUACAAAAACACUCCAAAAUGGGUUUCUCUUAGCUGUGUAUUUUUCUGGAAAUACUUGUCCCUUUUAGCUGUGGUUUGCUAGGUGAAAAAACUGGUUGGUUUUCUUGCUGGUUUCUGGGUGGAGUUUCUGAAUAGCUGUUGUCUUAUUGCUGUUGGUUUAAGCUCAAAAUCAGCCUUAUUCAAUGACCUUUAUUUGGUCUAUUUCUUGUUGUUUUUGGAUCACUAUUAGGUUGUAAUCUGCAGAUUCAUUUGUUCCAGUUGGUUAAUCAAACUCCAAGUAGUCAUUUUAGAUGAUAUUGAAGCUAUUUUUUGAUCCUACAGUUUAUAGUAGAUUUGUUUAUGUAUCAUGGCCUUGUAAUAUGAAACUUAGAAAUCUCAUAAUACAAGUUUAAUUUUUCUUCAUCUUUA